rnacentral:rRNA from 1 species
UACGAAGGGAGCUAGCGUUACUCGGAAUUAUUGGGCGUAAAGCGUGCGUAGGCGGUUUUAUAAGUCAGAAGUGAAAGCCUGGAGCUCAACUCCAGAAUUGCUUUUGAAACUGUGAAACUUGAGUAUCAGAGAGGAUAGUGGAAUUCCUAGUGUAGAAGUGAAAUUCGUAGAUAUUAGGAGGAACAUCGGUGGCGAAGGCGGCUAUCUGGCUGAAUACUGACGCUGUUGCACGAAAGCGUGGGGAGCAAACAGG